rnacentral:rRNA from 1 species
GACGAACGCUGGCGGCGUGCUUCAUACAUGCAAGUCGAACGAGAAGCUGACUUCGGUCAGUGGAAAGUGGCGGACGGGUGAGUAAUAUGUAGGAAAUCUGCCUUUAGGAGGGGGACAACAGAGGGAAACUUCUGCUAAUACCCCAUAUGAGCGUAGCUGAAAUGCUAUUCUUGAAAACUCCGGUGCCUAAAGAUGAGCCUGCAUCUGAUUAGCUAGUUGGUAGUGUAAUGGACUACCAAGGCGACGAUCAGUAGCUGGUUUGAGAGGAUGAUCAGCCACAAUGGGACUGAGACACGGCCCAUACUCCUACGGGAGGCAGCAGUAGGGAAUUUUGCGCAAUGGGCGAAAGCCUGACGCAGCAACGCAGCGUGAACGAUUAAGCCCUUCGGGGUGUAAAGUUCUGUCAGUGGGGACGAAACUUGACGGUACCCACAGAGGAAGCACCGGCUAACUCCGUG